rnacentral:rRNA from 2 species
AGCGGCGGACGGGUGAGUAACACGUGGGCAACCUGCCUGUAAGACUGGGAUAACUUCGGGAAACCGGAGCUAAUACCGGAUAAUCCUUUCCCUCACAUGAGGGAAAGCUGAAAGACGGUUUCGGCUGUCACUUACAGAUGGGCCCGCGGCGCAUUAGCUAGUUGGUGAGGUAACGGCUCACCAAGGCAACGAUGCGUAGCCGACCUGAGAGGGUGAUCGGCCACACUGGGACUGAGACACGGCCCAGACUCCUACGGGAGGCAGCAGUAGGGAAUCUUCCGCAAUGGACGAAAGUCUGACGGAGCAACGCCGCGUGAACGAUGAAGGCUUUCGGGUCGUAAAGUUCUGUUGUUAGGGAAGAACAAGUACCGGAGUAACUGCCGGUACCUUGACGGUACCUAACCAGAAAGCCACGGCUAACUACGUGCCAGCAGCCGCGGUAAUACGUAGGUGGCAAGCGUUGUCCGGAAUUAUUGGGCGUAAAGCGCGCGCAGGCGGUUCCUUAAGUCUGAUGUGAAAGCCCCCGGCUCAACCGGGGAGGGUCAUUGGAAACUGGGGAACUUGAGUGCAGAAGAGGAGAGCGGAAUUCCACGUGUAGCGGUGAAAUGCGUAGAGAUGUGGAGGAACACCAGUGGCGAAGGCGGCUCUCUGGUCUGUAACUGACGCUGAGGCGCGAAAGCGUGGGGAGCGAACAGGAUUAGAUA